rnacentral:tRNA from 1 species
UCCCUGGUGGCUCAGAGGUUAAAGCAUCUGCCUCCAAUGCAGGAGACCUAGGUUUGAUCCCAGGGUCGGGAA